rnacentral:other from 1 species
AGUAUCCUGGGGUGUGCGCCAGUCGUCUGUAUUUUCUCCUACAUUUUCGUAACUGGAGCCCGGAGUCGGUUCACGUAUGUCAUGCCCCCGUCUUUGACGCCAGGGGACGGCAGAAAUGCGCCGCAGGGCACCGACCUACCGUGAGACGGUGGGUGAAAAACGACGGCAGCGGCACUUUGGGAUUUUU